CAAUGAUCAGAUGAAUAGCUGAUCGCCCGCUUUGAUUCCCUGUGUUCCAUUGCAUCUGCUGAUGUGCCAUCUCCCACUCAAGUUCCUGCCCCAGUGGUCGAGCCUCCACAGACUCGUGCUCCUGCUUUCCUGCCAUCAUCUGUUGCUUGCCUAUCCAGACCAGAGGGAUUUUCCAGUGACUCCAACAACUGCCGUGCCUUCCUGGAACAGUGUGGACUGCCUUUCCCACUGAACCUGGGUGGUAAAGCUGAAGUCUGGGCAAUGGUCGAGUGGGUCUGGGACUCCCCCAUCUUCUACUCAUUAGACCUCUUCACUAACACACUAAUAGAUAUUCGUCCACACCACUACGGGUCCAGAGGCAGUAUGAGCAAUUAGGACCUGCACCAGGGCCAUUGUCAGGCUACGCUUACCAUCUCCUCAUUUUGCACAGACCCCUGCUUCGCCAGUGCACCCUGCGGUCCGAGAGGAACCCAUUCAGCUGGGCCGUGUUCUACUCACCCCAGAGGAACAACAGUGCCGUUUUUGGGAGGGUCGAUGCGUUUACUGGUCCCUUCAUGGCAUCGUUUCCAGUAAAAGACUGGGCUCGCCAGUAAAGAGGAGGGCGCUAGUGAGCCGCACUACUUCCUCUGCAUUCCCUUGUCCUCCUCUCGCUCAUGUUGAGUUAAAUUCUGGAUAAGAGCUUUAUGAACUGGAGUUUGGCAAGGAAAUUGAAACUGCAGGUUGUUCCCCUGUCUGAAUCCCAGUAGGCCAACGCUUUGGAUGGCGUCUGCAAUGCAAAGUUAGUUGUAGCACUCAAUCUGCCAAUCUCCGUGUCGCCCAGGGGCAUAUGGAACAACUCAGUUUUCACCUGUUCAACUCUCCCAUGCACCCUCUCAUUCUGGUUCUCCCGUUGCUCAAAAGACACAAUCCCCAGAUCAAUUGGGCCACAGGCAAGGUAACGGGCUGAGGCGUCAACCUGUUCAUUUUCAAUGUGUUCCCAGGAGCCUGCCUGCCUGCUCCUGGGAAGCCUCUAGGAGCCUCUACCCCUGCACAAAAGGAAUUGGAGCCCCACGAAUCUUUGGACUCAGAUUUCCAUACGUCUCCAAGGUCCCUGCCAUGACCAAUGACCUCAAAGAGGUCUUUAGCAAGUCCCAAGCCACCCCUCUACCCCCUCACUGUGUGUGCAAUUAUGCUAUUGAUCUGCUUCCUUGUACAUCCCCUCCUAGAGGGUGCCUGUACUCUUUGUCAGCUACAGCUUUUGGACUAACUAAACCCUAGCAUGUGCUUCACGACAUGCUCAACCAAUUUGUCUCCGUUCACCCGGACUACAUCCUCAUCUUCCCUCUGGAUUAGCAAACCCACACACAGCAUGUCCGUAAGGUCCUACAAUGCCUCCUAGAUUGCCAGCUCUUUGUCAAGGCGGAAAAAUGCGAGUUUCGCAUCCCAUGAGUUUAAUUUCUAGGCUUCAUCGUCUCUCAGAACUGUACCCAGAUGGACCUAGCUAAGGUGAUCCACUUGGCUGAUGCCUGCCUCUUCGCCUGUCCUCCUGGGAUAAAGCUUACCAUCUGUCAUUAAGCAACGCUUUGGGUGGCCAUCCAUGGAGACAGAGGUCGAAGAAUACGUGGCAGCCUGCCCAGUGUGCACCUGGAACAAAACCUCCCGACACCAUCCCUCUGGUUUCUUGUGCCCUCCGGCUAUUCGCCAUCACCCUUGGUCUGACAUUUCCCUGGUCUUCGUCACUGGUCCACCACCAUCUGAAGCCAAAGAAACAGCUGAGGUCAUCCCAUGUUUUCCAUUGGGAUGGACUUCCUGGAGAUGUUGUGCCGGGGACCCAGAUUCAUCUCUCAAAUCUGAAAAGCGUUCUGCAUCUCUGCUCAGGGCCACAGUUAGCCUUUCCUCUGGAUAUUAUCCCCAAUCCGACGGACAAACAGAAUGAAUCAGGAGCUGGAAACCUGUCUCUUCUUCCUCACCCCCCCACAAACCCUCAUACUGGAGCAAACAUCUCAUUUGAGAUGAGUAUGCACACAACACAUUACCCUGGUACUGCCAUGUCUUGUUCUGCUUAUUAGGUCAUGUUUUGCCCUUUAGUUUUUAUCUCGUGUACUAUUUUCUGUUUUAUUUUGAUGGCAUUAACUCUCCCUCUCGUUUCAGAUUGACACUUCAUGACCUCGUUUGUCUCCAGCCUUUAUGAUUGUCUGACCCGCCCUCACGUGUUGCUCCUGAAUCCAAUUGUUUCCCCCUCUCCCAGUGUAUUUAGUCCCUGUGUUCCCUUCCCUCUGUGCCAGUCUCACUUUUUUUCUUUGUGACAAGCAUUCCAGCAAUCUCCCUGUUUUAGCAUUCCUGGUUUUUGUUAGUUUGCCAAGUCUCAGCCAUGUCUUUUGCCCAGUCCUUUUGGAAUCGUUUGCCUGGUCUAUCUGCCUUCAUAUGUACUGACCUGUUAUCUAGUAAAUAUGCUGAU